rnacentral:rRNA from 1 species
GACGAACGCUGGCGGCGUGCCUAAUACAUGCAAGUCGAGCGAAUCUUUGGGAGCUUGCUCCCAAAGGUUAGCGGCGGACGGGUGAGUAACACGUGGGCAACCUGCCUAUAAGACUGGGAUAACUUCGGGAAACCGGAGCUAAUACCGGAUAAUUCUUAUCUCCUCAUGGAGAUAAGCUAAAAGACGGCUUACACUGUCACUUAUAGAUGGGCCCGCGGCGCAUUAGCUAGUUGGUGAGGUAAUGGCUCACCAAGGCGACGAUGCGUAGCCGACCUGAGAGGGUGAUCGGCCACACUGGGACUGAGACACGGCCCAGACUCCUACGGGAGGCAGCAGUAGGGAAUCUUCCGCAAUGGACGAAAGUCUGACGGAGCAACGCCGCGUGAGUGAUGAAGGUUUUCGGAUCGUAAAACUCUGUUGCUAGGGAAGAACAAGUACCGGAGUAACUGCCGGUACCUUGACGGUACCUAACCAGAAAGCCACGGCUAACUACGUGCCAGCCGCCGCGGUAAUAC